rnacentral:lncRNA from 1 species
UCCAGGGUCUGUGAGGAGGAGUCAAGGUCUGGGGUUUGUGUCCUCUGCAUAGCAAUGGCACUGCAAUGGGGGAGCCUGGUGCUGGGCUGGGCCGUCUCGUCACUGUCACCUGCCCGUUGAGGGGUGACAGUGGUUCUUGAGAGGCUGGAUCAGACCCCAGAGGUGACAUGGAUGUGACAUAUUUGUUGGACUUACACAGCCUUGCAUUUUAUUUUCAUCUCUGUUCCUUCCUCCCAUGAGAUCUUGGGUGGUGUUUAUCAACCCUGAGUAAUCGUUUCUUCAUCUGCAAGAUGGAAUAAAAAGGCCUACCUCAUUGGGCUCGUGUGGGUGAGGAGAACUGAAGAGUCUGAGAGCGCGGCACGAGCCAGAGGCUACGGAAAACACUGCCCUCCUACACUCCACCUUGGAGAGACCCAGAAAAGAACAAGCUUCAUUUGUAAAAAAGGAAAACAGCUCAUGGGGGUGGCUUAAAGAACUUGGAAUAACUUGCAGUGUCUUGCAGUAUUGUGAAACCAGCAACUUGUUCACAAUUCUUCUGAAUUUCUUGGGAAAUUUGAAGUGGAGUACCUGUACCAACAUGAAAUGACACGAAUUUAAGUGAAGCUCAACAACGAAAAGCAAAAAGAACCAAAGAGGAAGCAACUGAAACAACAUCUGGAUGUAUUUAAAAAUAUACAAUGCCUCCAAAAUCAGGUGUCAUUAAUGAAAAUUCUGAAGAAAUGCCACCGGACAUAGCCAACACACCUACGCUAUUGUUAUUCAUUUCCUGCUUUUCACAGAAAACAAUUUUGUUGCAUGGAAGAUUGUGAACUUCAAAGAGCAGAGGGGAAACUCUCCCUUGGCCCCUACCCCUCCAAGGCCCCACUUUUUCGUCAACACUCCUUGGACGCAGCAGAAGUAUGAACAUAAUAUGGUCCUGAAUGAGGCUGAGUCUUUGGGCGCAGAAGACCCGGGUUAAUAAAAAUAGGAAGGUAAGAAAAGAAAAGAAAAAUCAAGACACAUCAUAGGACUAAAUUCCUAUUAUUUAUCCACUCAGGAUUGACCACCCUUUUGGGCCAGAUAGUUGUACCCCCAUGUACCAGGUGGGCACAUGAAGACACAAGAAGUGCUGUGAUGGUUCAUUUUGCAUGUCACCUUGCGUGGAGUAUGCCAACUCAUUGUUUGGUCAAAUGCUAGUCUGGACAUGGUGGUAAAGGUAUUUUUUAGAUGAGAUUAACGCUUAAAUCAGUAAAGCAGGUUACCCACCAUACUAUGGGUGGGCCCUGUCCAAUCAGUUGAAGGCAUUAAGAACAAAGAUUGAGGUUUCCUAAAGAAGAUGGAAUUCUCCUUGAGACUACAACAUAGAAACCCUAUCUGAGUUUCCAGCCUGCUGCCCUGUGGAAUUCGAACUCAGGACUCCAGUCUAUGACAUUAACCCUCACUUAACUUUUCAGCCUGCCAGCCUGCCCUAUGGAUUUCAGACUUGCCAG